CAUUUCAUCUUAGCCACGCAGAAGUCGCUUGUCUAGGUGAGUCGCGGUGGGUCCCCGCUUGCAGUUCAGCUACCACGUUUGUUUCGACGCCGGACCGCGUAAGAGACGAUGAUGUUGGGCACCGAAGGUGGAGAGGGAUUCGUGGUGAAGGUCCGGGGCUUGCCCUGGUCUUGCUCGGCCGAUGAAGUGCAGAGGUUUUUUUCUGACUGCAAAAUUCAAAAUGGGGCUCAAGGUAUUCGUUUCAUCUACACCAGAGAAGGCAGACCAAGUGGCGAGGCUUUUGUUGAACUUGAAUCAGAAGAUGAAGUCAAAUUGGCCCUGAAAAAAGACAGAGAAACUAUGGGACACAGAUAUGUUGAAGGUUUGAUUUACAUUGCCCUAGUUACAGUAAAUAAAGCAUUAAACAAUAGAGGUCUUACCCCUUCUGAAUUUUAGGUGUUUGACUGCAUGGAAAUGGUCAUCUAAGGGAGUUUGUGGCAGCUCUUCCUAGCUUAUCUAAAGACCCAGGAAGUCUGAACUUUGUUAUCUAAUUUUCCAAAAGUGACUAAUUCUAAGCACCUCUUUCAGUAUUCAAGUCAAACAACGUUGAAAUGGAUUGGGUGUUGAAGCAUACUGGUCCAAAUAGUCCUGACACGGCCAAUGAUGGCUUUGUACGGCUUAGAGGACUUCCCUUUGGAUGUAGCAAGGAAGAAAUUGUUCAGUUCUUCUCAGGGUUGGAAAUCGUGCCAAAUGGGAUAACAUUGCCGGUGGACUUCCAGGGGAGGAGUACGGGGGAGGCCUUCGUGCAGUUUGCUUCACAGGAAAUAGCUGAAAAGGCUCUAAAGAAACACAAGGAAAGAAUAGGGCACAGGUAUAUUGAAAUCUUUAAGAGCAGUAGAGCUGAAGUUAGAACUCACUAUGAUCCACCACGAAAGCUUAUGGCCAUGCAGCGGCCAGGUCCCUAUGACAGACCUGGGGCUGGCAGAGGGUAUAACAGCAUUGGCAGAGGAGCUGGCUUUGAGAGGAUGAGGCGUGGUGCUUAUGGUGGAGGUACGUGAGGAUUCGCAAGGUUUGGCAAGUAGUCUGUUCCUUUGUCUAGGUGUUUUGAUUGAUUGUACUUUGUCUUUCAGGCUAUGGAGGCUAUGACGAUUACAAUGGCUAUAAUGAUGGCUAUGGAUUUGGGUCAGAUAGAUUUGGAAGAGGUAAGGUAAGAAUUGAAUUUCUCAGUUGAAGGAUGCUUACACUCUUGUCCAUCUAGACCUCAAUUACUGUUUUUCAGGAAUGUCUGAUCACAGAUACGGGGAUGGUGGCUCUACUUUCCAGAGCACAACAGGACACUGUGUACACAUGCGUGGAUUACCUUACAGAGCUACUGAGAAUGACAUUUAUAAUUUUUUUUCACCGCUCAAUCCUGUGAGAGUACACAUUGAAAUUGGUCCUGAUGGCAGAGUAACUGGUGAAGCAGAUGUCGAGUUCGCAACUCAUGAAGAUGCUGUGGCAGCUAUGUCAAAAGACAAAGCAAAUAUGCAACACAGAUAUGUAGAACUCUUCUUGAAUUCUACAGCAGGAGCAAGCGGUGGUGCUUACGAACACAGAUAUGUAGAACUCUUCUUGAAUUCUACAGCAGGAGCAAGCGGUGGUGCUUAUGGUAGCCAAAUGAUGGGAGGCAUGGGCUUGUCAAACCAGUCCAGUUACGGGGGCCCAGCCAGCCAGCAGCUGAGUGGUGGUUAUGGAGGCGGCUAUGGUGGCCAGAGCAGCAUGAGUGGAUACGACCAAGUUUUACAGGAAAACUCCAGUGAUUUUCAAUCAAACAUUGCAUAGGUAACCAAGGAGCAAUGAACAGCAGCUACUACAGUAGUGGAAGCCGUGCAUCUGUGGGCGUGAACGGAAUGGGAGGGAUGUCUAGCAUGUCCAGUAUGAGUGGUGGAUGGGGAAUGUAAUUGAUCGAUCCUGAUCACUGAUUCUUGGUCAACCUUUUUUUUUUUUUUUUUUUUUUUUUAAAGAAAAAAACUUCAGUUUAACAGUUUCUGCAAUACAAGCUUGUCAUUUAUGCUUACUCUAAGUGGAAAUCAGGAUUGUUAUGAAGACUUAAGGCCCAGUAUUUUUGAAUACAAUACUCAUCUAGGAUGUAACAGUGAAGCUGAGUAAACUGUAACUGUUAAACUUAAGUUCCAGCUUUUCUCAAGUUAGUUAUAGGAUGUACUUAAGCAGUAAGCGUAUUUAGGUAAAAGCAGUUGAAUUAUGUUAAAUGUUGCCCUUUGCCACGUUACAUUGAACACUGUUUGGAUGCAUGUUGAAAGACAUGCUUUUAUUUUUUUGUAAAACAAUAUAGGAGCUGUGUCUACUAUUAAAAGUGAAACAUUUUGGCAUGUUUGUUAAUUCUAGUUUCAUUUAAUAACUUGUAAGGCACGUAAGUUUAAGCUUUUUUUUUUUUUUUUUUUUUUUUUAAAGUUAAUGGGAAAAAUUUGAGACGCAAUACCAAUACUUAGGAUUUUGGUCUUGGUGUUUGUAUGAAAUUCUGAGGCCUUGAUUUAAAUCUUUCAUUGUAUUGUGAUUUCCUUUUAGGUAUAUUGCUAAGUGAAACUUGUCAAAUAAAUCCUCCUUUUAAAAACUG
rnacentral:sRNA from 1 species